CACAGCGAACCCCUGAAGCUUACAACUUGGCUGUCCAUCAUCGAGAGAUUGGAAGCAAUCAAGACAUCAAAGGUGUCAAGAAAUGGCUGAGCAAACAUUUUUACGCAGCGCUAUCAGUGAAGUGUUGCCCGAUCUUGCAGAGGCUUCAAAAGACAUUCUCGAGGAGACUUUACAGUCAAUUGGAGUAGAAACGUAUGAUGACUUCCAGUUCAUUGUUGAGGAAGACUUGCUGUCAGCAUUAAGACCAAUUCAAGCCAGAAAGGCACUUGCUGCUUGGAAAUUCAGAUGCCGGACCCCUGAAACCAGCAGGUCCUCAAGUAAUGCAUCACCAGAUACUCCUCCAUC